CCUACGGGUGGCAGCAGUGGGGGAUAUUGGACAAUGGGGGCAACCCUGAUCCAGCGACGCCGCGUGAGUGAAGAAGUAUUUCGGGAUGUAAAGCUCUUUUAGCAGGGAAGAAAGAAAUGACGGUACCUGAGUAAUAAGCCCCGGCUAACUACGUGCCAGCAGCCGCGGUAAUACGUAGGUGGCAAGCGUUAUCCGGAUUUACUGGGUGUAAAGGGAGUGUAGACGGGAAUGCAAGUCUGGUGUGAAAGGCAGGGGCCCAACCCAUGGACUGCACUGGAAACUGUGUAACUGGAGUGCAGGAGAGGCAGGCGGAAUUCCUAGUGUAGCGGUGAAAUGCGUAGAUAUUAGGAGGAACACCAGUGGCGAAGGCGGCCUGCUGGACUGCAACUGACGUUGAGGCUCGAAAGCGUGGGGAGCAAACAGGAUUAGAUACCCGGGUAGUC
rnacentral:rRNA from 1 species